rnacentral:rRNA from 1 species
GAUGAACGCUGGCGGUAUGCUUAACACAUGCAAGUCGAACGGACUCUUCGGAGUUAGUGGCGGACGGGUGAGUAACGCGUGAGAAUCUGGCUUUGGGUUCGGGACAACCACUGGAAACGGUGGCUAAUACCGGAUGUGCCGAGAGGUAAAAGAGAAAUUGCCUGAAGAUGAGCUCGCGUCUGAUUAGCUAGUUGGUGAGGUAAAGGCUCACCAAGGCAGCGAUCAGUAGCUGGUCUGAGAGGAUGACCAGCCACACGGGGACUGAGACACGGCCCAGACUCCUACGGGAGGCAGCAGGGGGGAAUUUUCCGCAAUGGGCGAAAGCCUGACGGAGCAAUACCGCGUGAGGGAAGAAGGCUCUUGGGUUGUAAACCUCUUUUCUUAGGGAAGAACAAAAUGACGGUACCUAAGGAAUCAGCAUCGGCUAACUCCGUG